rnacentral:rRNA from 1 species
GUCUCCGGCCGUACCACCCUGAACGCGCCCGAUCUCGUCUGGUCUUGGAAGCUCAGCAGGGUCGGGCCUGGUUAGUACUUGGAUGGGAGAAACACACAUUGUAUUAGGAGGAA